ACUGCUUAGCUUCUGAGACCAGACUAGAACAGGCAUGUUCGGAGUAGUAUGGUCAUAGACAAAACCUUUGAACUUCUGAUAAAACUUCUGUGCUUGCUUUUUUGCUUAUUUAAUCAGGGCAGCAUCACUUCAGAUCUAUGAUUAUAUCAAACUGUUGGGUAUUCAGGACUGGAGCUUAGGAAAGAGAGAUUCAGGACAAGUAUUUGGAAAUCAUAUGUGAUCAUUAAAACCAUUACAACAUAUGAGCCAGCCCAUAAAGAAUACAAAGGAAGAAGACAAUCAAUGAUUAACCUUUAGGGAUCCCCUGCAUUUAAAGGACAGGUGGAAGGAAAAAUGAGAAAGAAGCUUGAAAGUCACAAAAUCCACAUGGAUAAUAUGAAGUCAAAAUGUAAUCAGGAGGAGGAGAAAAAGGCAGAGGAGUAUCCUCACUUCAAAAGAGAUUACGGAUAUGUGUAAAAUGCGGGAAAGUGCAAAAUCUUGUAGAAAAGCACCACAUGAAUAAGGCUGUAGCAGUGUGAGCAAUGAAUCUGUUUCAGGACAAUGCAAUGUCACAUUUCUAUGAAAUCCUCAAAAGGAGUCAAAAGCAAGUGUCAUUGGAUAGGUUCCUCAUUAAAGUUGCACAAAAAGAAAAAGAUUCCAUUGAGCCAACAGAUAGCAGGGAUUUCAUUAUUGAUAGUGAAAGUCAUCCUAUACAACAACCCCCCUCCCUCUUGUCUCCCUCACACCGGCCACGAAGGUUUUCAAAGGAGGAAUUAAUAGAAUUUUAACCAGGACAAACUGGGCUGCAGUGAAAGCCACGGAACUAGACUGAAUCAAAGAAGCUGAGGUAGGCAACCUUUCAACUUAUCCUGAGAUAUUAAUUCAGGCAAUAACCACUCCUAAGGCCACAUG